rnacentral:rRNA from 1 species
CAACGAAUCUUCCGCAAUGCGCGAAAGCGUGACGGAGCAAUGCCGCGUGCAGGAUGAAGCCUUUCGGGGUGUAAACUGCUGUCAGGGUUCAGCAACACAAUGAGCAGACCCAAAGGAAGGGCCGGCUAACUUCGUGCCAGCAGCCGCGGUAAUACGAAGGGCCCAAGCGUUGCGCGGAAUCACUGGGCUUAAAGCGUACGUAGGCGGACAGAUAGGUACCUUGUGAAAUCCCUCGGCUCAACCGAGGAACUGCUUGGUAAACCGGCUGUCUUGAGGCAAGUAGGGGCUAUCGGAACGAUAGGUGGAGCGGUGAAAUGCGUUGAUAUCUAUCGGAACGCCAAAGGCGAAGGCAGAUAGCUGGGCUUGUUCUGACGCUGAGGUACGAAAGCGUGGGGAGCGAACGGGAUUAGAUACCCCCGUAGUCC